CCUACGGGUGACAGCAGUGAGGAAUAUUGGUCAAUGGGCGCGAGCCUGAACCAGCCAAGUCGCGUGAGGGAGGACGGCCCUACGGGUUGUAAACCUCUUUUGCCGGGGAGCAACGGGCGCCACGUGUGGCGUCACUGAGAGUACCCGGAGAAAAAGCAUCGGCUAACUCCGUGCCAGCAGCCGCGGUAAUACGGAGGAUGCGAGCGUUAUCCGGAGUUAUUGGGUUAAAGGGGUGCGUAGGCGGAUCGUUAAGUCAGUGGUCAAAUUGAGGGGCUCAACCCCUUCCCGCCAUUGAAACUGGCGUUCGUGAGUGGAAGAGAAGUAUGCGGAAUGCGUGGUGUAGCGGUGAAAUGCUUAGAUAUCACGAAGAACUCCGAUUGCGAAGGCAGCUCACUGGACUGCAACUGACACUGAGGCUCGAAAGUGUGGGUAUCAAACAGGAUUAGAUACCCGAGUAGUC
rnacentral:rRNA from 1 species